rnacentral:rRNA from 1 species
UAGGGAAUAUUGGACAAUGGGCGAAAGCCUGAUCCAGCCAUGCCGCGUGAGUGAUGAAGGCCCUAGGGUUGUAAAGCUCUUUCGCCAGGGACGAUAAUGACGGUACCUGGAUAAGAAGCCCCGGCUAACUUCGUGCCAGCAGCCGCGGUAAUACGAAGGGGGCUAGCGUUGUUCGGAAUUACUGGGCGUAAAGCGUAUGCAGGCGGAUCGUUAAGUCGGGGGUGAAAUCCCGAGGCUCAACCUCGGAACUGCCCUUGAUACUGGCGAUCUUGAGUCCGGGAGAGGUGAGUGGAACUGCGAGUGUAGAGGUGAAAUUCGUAGAUAUUCGCAAGAACACCAGUGGCGAAGGCGGCUCACUGGCCCGGUACUGACGCUGAGAUACGAAAGCGUGGGGAGCAAACA